rnacentral:lncRNA from 1 species
GUGGAUGACGAUGAUAUUUUCAAGUGUUUUGAGGUUCUGUAUAUUUGGGUUGUGAAGAUAUAUACACUUCGUUUGGGGUUUUGAUUUUUCAACUCUAUACAUAAUUGUGAUACGUGUAGAGGUCUGAUUAGUUGGUAAACUUUGGGGUCUGUAAGUUUGCCACGUGAUAUACCAUGGCGAUGAUGUGUAUGUGGGGCCAAUUUUUCAUGAGUGUAUGGAUGGUAGGGAGCUGGGCAUUGAUGCUUGUUACUCGGUCAAUACUUGCUAUUUGACUCGUACUCAGCUUGAAAAAGCAAGUACUUGACUUUGUCAAAUCAAGUAGCAAGU